rnacentral:tRNA from 1 species
GCCCCGUUGGCUAAGUGGUAUAGCGUGUCACUAGUAAUCUCCAAACACCGCUUGGUGUCCCAAAGGUUGAUGAUGAUGAUAUGACAAGAUCACUGGUUCGAUUCCAGUACGGGGCA